GCACUUCCGACCGAGGCUCGCGUUUCUUAACAAGACCGAGCGUGUACAAUCACAUGACAGUCAACAACGUGAUGCCUGCUGAAAUCAAUUAUCUAAGUGAAUUUGCAAGGUCUGCGGUCACUAGAAUGAGGGGGCUACGGAGAAUCCAAUAAUGUCUGUUUGGAGGAGCAGGCUUGUUUUUUGGCCCCUGACAACACAAUUACAGCCCCGCCGAUUGUCGUGUGUGUGCAUUAAGUACCUCCCCCAGAAUGAGGCCGAUUAAUGAAGGGGCUCCUCGGGGCCGAAGAAGAAGCCCCAGGCACCCACACAGAGGAGAGGAACUGUUGGAACACAUGCUCCAUACUGUAUUAAUGCAGGGCCACCCUUCAAGAUCUAGUCCAAGUUGCUCGAGAUCUAGUCAAACCCAGGCCUGAGAAAAAAGAUGUGAAUAUGUCCUCUUGCCAAUCCUGAGAGACAGAAAACUGUAUCAUACUCAAUACUCCAGCCACAGUCAAGGCUGGUACCACACUGAAACGCUUAGCAGUCCUGCCAGUGUAAAGGUUAAGCUUGACAUUGUCUUUCUCCAGUCAUUGAUUCUGUAGGGAAAAGAGAAGCAAGAACAUUUUACUAAAGUUCUCCUUUAGCUUUCUGCAUGAGAAUGUGAGGGAGCAACAUGAGGUGCAUAUUUGGGCAAGGAGGAAAAGAGAAUGAUAUCCCACGUCACAAGUCUCUAUCUGCUCCACCAGGACCGUUGAACACUUUAAUAAGGUUUUUGUUUUAGUUUUAAGGCUCAGUUGAAGGUGUACAUUUCCUCACUGCAUUCAAUCAGUUUCAAAUCUGAUCAAUGGAAUGACACUGUGUCCAUGCAUGACCAGUAAUAGUAGCAUGAAGAACGGCAAGCAAAGGCCCAACCUUGAUGAAGCUGUCAGGGCUGGAAGACACACGAGGGGUUAGACGUACGCUUUCAAACACGCGUGACCUCACGCUGAUGAGCCUAAUUUACACAUCCUCAAGGCCUUUCCCCUGAGCCCACCAAUCACAAUACCCUCCCACUUGACCUGCGACCCUCCACGGGGGUCUCCCAUUGGCUGCGUAGUGAAAGGAAAGAGGGAGACAUCCCUGCUGCUCAUCUCCAUCACAAUGGCAGCAUAUGUUUGUGGGCAUUUGAGCGCAUGGAGCUGGCAGAGUCCAUAUUAGACUGACGACAGAGACCAGGUGCCUGAACCCCACACACUCGGAGACUAAAGAGAAAGUCAACACUGUUUCCUUGUGAACAGCCAUGGAAGUGAGGUGAAAGGGAGCGAGGAGGAAGUGAGGGUAAAGGCAAGUUUAGCUUGCAGAGCAGGCUCUACCUCUAUCAUGGGCCAGGCAGCUGCCGGACCCAUCCAGGGGCAUCACUCACCACUAAUGAACAUAUCAGUCCAGUCCAAGCACUCUCCCAGACGCUCCUCACGCAGCCAUGAAGAAGAGGGGUGAGGAAAGGCUAACCGAGUUAGCCGUUCUCAAGCGGCUUGGACGGAGAAGACAGAUUGAGGAUGAUGCAAAUGGAGCUCACAGCAUUGAUCCAGACACACCCGGCUCCUCGUCAUCCAUCAUAAGACCAACGCUCCCCUCACGCUGCUCAAGGUCCACGCGUCCUCCUUUCCGCUUUUAGCCACCCAGGACUAUCAGCUAGAUGCUUGAUGGAUUCCCAGGGAGGCCGUGCUUGGAUUUAAUUCUGUACAAAUGUCAAGCAUAUUGGCAGCAUAUUUAGUUAUGAUCAACACCUGGAUGAAAACCAGUGACCUCUGGCUGUGUGGAAGUGCUGCUCAGUGCCCUGGGGAAAGAGAGGCCUGCAUGCUGUCUAAACCUGCUGAGAUGCAUUCACAGCUAAGAAAGAGAGAGCACAGUCUAGACAUUGAAAAUGCAGACUCAAUAUUUCUGGGAACAGGAGCAAGAGAGGAAGUUCGAGUACAUAAAACUGAGGUUACAGUAUGCAGAGAAAAAUGUGUUUCCCAGACGAAUGCCUGCUGGUUUUGGAUUCGGGAAACAGAAUCACAGAGGUAUGUGAGAGUUUGAGCCGCUGAAUGCAAAAGCUCAAAGUUUCAGAAAGCACCACACAUUGAUUGUGGGAUGGUAAAAAGAACGAUUUUCCAGUUAGUGCCCGUCUACAGCUUCCCAUUUUGCUUGGAUGCUGUCAUCAAUAUAAUGUGCUCAGUUGCUGGCUCACUGAUAUUUAUGGCUUUGGUGCUACAGGGUUGAGCCCCUGCCCUGUGUCUGCUGGAGUGAACAUGAAUGAGAUAAGCUCUCAAACUGUGGAGUGUUCACUAGAGAAACUUUUUACCAU